UGUUGCAGUUAAAGCUCGUAGUUGAAUUUCUGCUAAAAAUAACCGGUCUGCUUUUAAUAAAGGUGGUAUCUUGGUGUGUUUUUAGCAAUAAUGUCCUUUGAAAUGUUUUUUACUUUAUUGUAAUAAAUUAUAUUCAGGAUUUUUACUUUGAGAAAAUUAGAGUGUUUCUAGCAGGCUAACGCUUUGAAUACUGCAGCAUGGAAUAAUAAAAUAGGAUUUUGGUUCUACAUUAUUGGUUUUAAGAGCUAAAUUAAUGAUUGAUAGGGACAGUUGGGGGCAUUUGUAUUUAACUGUCAGAGGUGAAAUUCUUAGAUUUGUUAAAGACAAACUACUGCGAAAGAGAUUUGUUAAAGA
rnacentral:rRNA from 1 species